CCUUCAGUCCCAGUGGAAAAUCCACAGUGUUCACAAGGCCUCAAAGUCUGACUUUCUGUCUCACCGACUUAUGAGACUGCUGGAUGUUCUGAUCAACACCUGCUACCUGUGAACUGAGCUGGUGUUGCGCUUCUACCAGCAUACACCUCUCACAAACACUCAGGAUCACAGAAGUAAGUCUCAGCCCUGGACCAAGAAGAACCUCCAGCAGAAUCUGCCUUUGGGAAUGUUCAGCCAUGUUCCUCAGCAUCAUCUGGCUUCCUCCUUGUUCCCCCUGGAAGCCACCUGACGCCAGCCAGGAAGAACCAGGGCCCGUGAACAAGUCCUGUUCCAUGAGGUGAGCUCCUGGGAGAAGCUGCAUCCCCAGCUGUGAGGUGACAGCAGAGGAGACCCCCCCCCCCCAUGGCUAGAAGCCAGCCAGACUCCUGCUCAGGGACCCUGGAGCUCCUGCCUGCCACGCUGGCAGCAUCCUCUUGGCCGCCACUCCCUGGCCCGACUCUCGGCUUCCUGUGUGUCAGGACAGGAGCAGCAGGCACUGCGCCACUGUAAAUGUUUGCUGGAGAUGGAGCAACCUGGCCUGGUGGCAGCUGCUGCCAUGCUCGCUGCCAGAGCCUCUCAGAGGCGCCGAGUCAGUGGGUUCAUUAGUGGUAUGGGAAGAGCCGCCAUGAAAAGGCCUCCCAAGGUGAGCCUGGCUCUGCCAGCCAAGCAGGGACUCUCUGGGUGCCUUACCUGGGAAGGAGAAUGUAGAGGUCAAAAGACAGGCUUCGUUAUUCCCUCCUGGGAGCCAUCAAACCUGCCUCUGUUCCUGGGAGAAAGUAUCUACCUCUUUCUGAGCGGGGAGUGACAAGCCAAAACCCUGUGGCCUCUUUAUCAUGGAUCCCAUCACUGCCAGCCACCGGUGCCAGCCAGUACCAAGUGCUUACUUAAUACAUCACCUUUAAUCUUCUCCUCCACUCCCAAAGGUCCCCUCGCAUGAGCAGAAGAGGGAAUGAUCUGAAGGAACAGAAAAGCUGACCUCAAUCACACUGGCCUAGAACAUGAUGUGACCUUCCCCUGCCUACUGCUGAGGCAGAUCAGGGUUUUCAAGUGGAUGGGUAUCAUUUGAUAGUUGCUUUUUUGAGCCUUACUUCAAGUAAAAAAUGAAGUCAUAAUGCUCAAGGGGCAUUGUGGUUUAUGAAAAGAAGUUCUUGUUCCCAGUCUCUUAGGGCUGAAGCAAAUCACCCCUGCCAUACACCGCUUUCUGAGCGCAACACUCAGUCACUCUCCUUUAUGGCAGAAAAGGCAGCGCUGCACCUUCAGAAGAGGGUCCCCUCAGGAAUUCCUUCAUGCCAUGGCUCCUGGACUCCUGACUCCACUUUGCUUUAUGGUGACUGACUUGAGGACUGUAUGGUUCUUAGACUUUGCCUUCGCUGUGACAAGCCACGUAAUAAAAGGAAAUGCAAGGACAUCAUCUAAUUACUGUAUGGUUCUCUGCAGCAGACACCACGCCAAGGUUCUUACCUAUGUUUUCUCAUUCCAGCCUUAAAACAACCCUGUGGCUAGGUCUUACGAUUCCCACUUGGCAUAUGAAGAAACUGAGGCUUUGAGAAGUUUGAAAAAAAAAAAAAAAUCAGCUCAAGGUCAGAAGACCAAGAAAGUGUAAGACCAAGCCUCAAACCAGGUUUGGAACCAUAAAAACCAUGUUGUGUCCACGACUCCUCCAGACUAGGCCAAUUUAGAAAAGAGUUGACAUUCUCCUUUUUCUAGUGAAGAGUGUUCUGGGAAAUUCCUUUCUCUUGUUUGCCUGAAAAACACCAUAACUCUUGGGAGACAUGACUCCUGCUUUGCAAAGCAUUCAUAUUAAAUAUGCAUUACUCUAUUUAGCUUAUCCUGGAGAUGAGCAAUUCACCUUUCUUUCCCUUCUCCACUCUGCAUCUCUUUGUACAAGGAAAUUGGUGACCCCAGCAUGUGCAUGAUAGAGGGCAGGGGGAGAGGACAAGCCGAAAAAGGAAAGAAAUAUGUGGGAAUGAACUUAGCUCAUGUCCGGAGACCCAGAGGGGAAUGCCCUGUGGAAAUGAGCUGUGAAAGCCGAGCCAACAGGGCUGUCUGUCUGGUCCCUUCUGCCCACCAUGUAGCUUCAGAAGAUAAUUAUCAUAGGUUAAUCAGGUCAACAAACUUGCUGGGCACUCUGACAAGCCGGGCAGCCUCAGGUUUGCUCCCAGUGGGCAAGACCAAAAGGGCUCUCUGGCUGCUCAGAAAAGAAAAUCAACUGGGAACAGUUUCUCUGCUGAGAAAUCUCAUGGCUGCCCCAGGUGGGAUUCAAGUCACUUAGGAUCACUGCAGAAGGCUGCUGACCGUUCUCGUGGCCUAAACCAGGGUGAUCAGGCUGCUUUGGUCCCCAAAUCUCCAGACUGUUACCACAAAUCUGGAGCUGGUUUCUAUUUGAAAGGCCUGGCAGAAAUAAAGUGUUCAGUUGGCUUUGUUACAACAGAAGACAGAGUCUAAGCCAGUCAGCAAAGUUAGUGGUAUAAUUACAAAAAGAGAGAGAGAGAGAGAGAGAGAGAGAAGAAGAAGAAGAAGAGGAGGAGGAGGAGGAGGAGGAGGAGGAGGAAGAAAUGGUCCAGUGCCCUUUGGAAUGACUACAUGGGGGUCUUUUACCCAGGUGAAGGUGUAUAUACAUGCGGCGUUUUCAUCUACUGCACGUGGUGUGGAGGGAAAGGCCAGGGUUUGAAGUGAGGGUGGAAAUUUUAAGGUUUUGGUGGGCACUCAGCAGCUGUGUUAUCAUAGGUAAGACACUUAACCCCUGUAAGGCACAUCUAUACGAGGGGAGUGAUUAUUUCCACUCCUGGGGGCAGGGAGUGGGGUGUGAGAAUAAAGUACAAUCAAGUACAUGAAAGCCCCCCACACUGGUGUACUCAGAAAAUAUGAAUUUCUCCUUCCUUUCCUUAUUAUCAUUAUCAACAUGCUCACCUUCUUUUCAUCAUCGUCAGUAGCAGUAGCAUCAACCAGCACCCUGACUUUCAAGGCAGUCAUGAAAACACCCCAACUGCUGCUGAGUUACUGGCAACAAGGAACUGGUGAGUAAGUUAUUUUGGGAAGUCAGGUCUUAUCAGCGUGGAUCCAGUUCCUUGCAGACCUCUCUGUCAGUCAUUCUUAAGCCCCUCGGAUACCCAGAACCUGUCUACUGAAAAGAACUGAACUAUUAAUGUCCCUCCUAGAAGAAGAAGAAAGGGAACUGGCUCCUGUGAAUGUGGGUCAGGAAUCACCAGGGUGGUAAUGACUCAGUCCGCUCUGUGUUUGCCGGCCCUCCUUGGUCCUUCCAUAAAAGCUCUCUGUCAGGAGCCCUGCUUGGCCAUGGCGUGAUCGCCCUUUUGUUCUACAAAUUCCUGGAUAUGACUCACAGAACCGUUUAAGCACAUCUCUCUUCAUGUUCCUAGGAAUUUUCCUGACAAGAGCAGUCCUUGUCCUGAGGCAAUCAUAUUUCUCCUUGACUUCUCUCCAGUAUCAGCUUGUUGCCUGACACCCCUGCGUGGCUGAUUUCAUAACGUCAGUGAGUCUGGCUGCCUUUUCCUCAGACGCAGGCCUGGUUGCCCAGUGCUGAGGCAGCAUCAUGGCCACAGUGAAUCAUUUAUCCUCCGUGCCUUCCUCUUCAGCCCUCUGUGAGGCAGAAUCCUUGAAAAUGUCACCUCCAACCAGUGGAAACCGGCACAAUGAUUUUUGGGAAAUUAUGCCUAGAAAUUAGCCUGUGUCUUGGUAAUUCUCCUUCUGGGCCUCUGUUCUAAGAAAAUAAUCUGAAAUUAUUUGGUCAUAGUGGCUGGUAGUUAUUGCACACUCACGGUGGGCCAACACUGUUUGAAUUGUUGUAUGUAUAUUGACUUACUUAAGCACCAUAACAACCCCAUGAGAAAGUAGUCAUAUAUCCCCAUUUUUCAAAUUAGGUGAGCAAGGACCCGAGAGAGAACUGUGUAGGUGUUUCUGCUCCUUGAGUAGAUAAGAGCUGAGCUGUGAGCCCAGGCAAUCUGAUGCCACAGGGUUUACCUUGACUUCUUUACUGGCGCUACCUCAGUGUGCAAAGCUUGAUAUUAAAAGGAAAAGGAAGAAGAAAAGGAAGGAGGUAGAGGAGGACAAAGAACACAUGGAAGAGUUAGAGAAGGAGAGGGAGGAAGCUCUCAGGGGAAAAAAAGUUAAGGACUUUUAAAAAGUGUGUUAUAUAUAUUUUUAAAAAGUGAAUAAAAUGAUGUUGCUUUAUACUCUUAUCACUGAGGGUCAAUCUUCUAGAAAAUUUGGGACCUCUAUCCUGUACCAAAAAGUCUUCAGAAGAGUUGACCAAGGAAUUCUCUUCCUACAAAUUUACCACAGUGAAUUAAUUAAAGAGAGGCAAACAGUUUUACCCAGGAAGACUAAUCCAGUGUUACUUACAAUAACAAAGACUAGAAAGGACUCAAAUAUCCAAUAGAGAAGUAGUUAAGUAUCUUAGGUUGUAUCUCCUCCAUGGAGUAAAAUACACCAAUAAAUGCGGUAAUUUCUAAGAUAAGGUAGCAAGUUGGGAAAAUACUUAUUAUUUAAUGAAGUACUGAAAGUAAAAGAUUGUGUAGAGAUCACUAUUACCAUCAAAGGAAAUACAUUUUUGUACAGGGGCAGACACUGGAAGAGUGUACAAAAAUAAACCAUAUUUUAUGGUGAUGGGAUAAGGGAUAGUUUUAUCUUCACAUGGUCUUCUCCACAUUAUAUAUUAAAUGUCCAAUGAUAGAAAAGCAAAGCAUUUUAUCUGUUGCAGCACAGAGGAAGUCUGGGCGUAAGCAGGGAGAUAGUGAGAAGGUAUUACCAUAAUCACAUGAGAAAUCCUAGUAGUGAACAUGGACAGUAAUGAACUUGGACAUCACUACAGUAGUGAACUUGGACAGCAGUUGGAGGGAUUCUAGAUAUAAGAUACAGUGAGUAAAGGCAAGGGGGGAAUUGCUAAUGAUUCCAAAGUUCAGGGCUUGGACAUAGAACACGGAAUAACAGAAGAACAAGACUAGGGAGGAUUUCAGAGAUGUUAUGGGGGAGAUGCCAGUGGAACAUGUAGGAAAACUGGUUGGAAGUUUGGAGCUCAGAAUAAGGUGUGACCAUGGUCCUCACUCAAGUGGCUGUAUGGGCAGAGGCUAUCUUGAUGGCCAUAUCAAGGUCUGAGCCAAUGGUAAUUCUUACUAAAUGGAGUGUGGAACCUGGGCCUACACAUUACCUGUCAAGACUUGCCUUAGUGAUUGCCAAACUUAGAGUUCUGUUAGUUAUCUCUUGCUACAUAACAUAUUACCCCCAAAAUUAGCAGCUUGAAACAUUUAUUACCUCUUGAUUUCUAGGGGGCAAGAAUCCAGGUUCCGCAUAUCAGCUUUGCCUCAAGAUCUCACCACAUGAUAUAAUCAAGGUGCUGCUGAAGCUGCAAUCAUCUUAAUGAUCAUGUUAGUGGGGUCCAUUUCCAGGCUCACUCAUGGGGCUCUUGGCAGGCUCAGGUCCUCCUUGGCUGUUGGCUAGAGAUAUCAGUUCCUUGUCACAUGGACCUCUCCUUCAAGUGACUCACAACAUGGCAUCUGAAAGAUGGAGAGAGAACAAACCCAAGAGAAAAGCCAUAGAUAGUCUUUUUAUAGUUUAAUCUCUGAAAUGAUAUCACAUUACUUCUACUGUGUCUAUUUUGUUAGAAGCAAAACAAAUCCAACUGCAGUCAAAGGUAGAGAAUUACACAAAACAGCAAAUAUGCCGAGGUGGGGAUCGCUGGGCGCCAUCUUAGAGGCUGCCUCCUACAAGUUCUACAGAGAUAAAUUGAAGCUAUUCUACAUGAUUAUCACCAUCCCCAAACACCAUUAUUGCCAUGUUCCUUCACUACUUACUGUUAAGAAAAAUAUGGAAUUGAAAACUAUAGAAUGUCAGACCUUGAAGUUCUCUUCAAGGUAAUCCAACUCUGAAACUCUAAAAGCAAUCUAGAAAGAUGUGGCCAUUCUCCCUUCUCACACUCACAUGACACAUAACCAAUUGUUCCAUUUACCCUCCCACAUACAUGUUAGACUUAACUAGUCAUUCAAGCAUAUUUUCCCACUCAACCAGGAUCUGCCCUCAGACCUUCCCACCCAAGCCAGUACAGUACACUCAAUCAGUGAACUCUAUUUUCUGUCACUGAUCCAGUCCAGUCCUCUCAUUUUACAGAGGAAAACCAAAACUCCAGAGAGGUGAAAAAGUUUACCCAAAGUUUCGCAGUAGGCGGCAAAGUUGAGAUUUGAAUUCUGAUCUGAUGCCAAUGUCUACUCUCUUUCUAUUGCACAUGGUCUACCUUACAACUCCACUGUUGGCAAGUUACUGUUCCAUGCAGUAUAGAUUUCUAAUUCUAGCAUUUAGGUGGUUGUGUGUGAAUGAGGAUGUGUGUGCAUAUACCCUCUGACAUAUUCUAUUGUUUGAAACAGGGAGCCCAGCCCACCCUCACAUGUUCACACAUAGGAACACACACAUCUAUGUAAAUUUGCAGGUAUAUGUGCAUACAUUUUCCUGUUUCCAUUCCCACCCAAUCUGGUAAUCCCACAUCACUGGGAAUGUUAACAAAUUGUUCUCAGCUUCCAGUAGAGGAAUGUGCAGAGUGCCCAGGGGGAGUAUCUAAAGUUUAAAUAACAGGGACCAAGGCAGAAAGUACUCAUCAUCUAUAUACUCCUUACACAACAUGGGGCUUGGCCUGUGGUGUGGCGUAAACACUGGAUUAAUGAACACAUGAAUGAACGCUUACAUGAAUGGAAUCAGUAUUUCCCAAUCAUUAGUCAUUCAGGCACCACUUUACUAGUUUUGCCAUACAUCUAUGUUAUGUAAAUUUAAUGUUUCUCAUUAAAUUGAUUCACUUUUUAAACCCAAAUAAUUUUUUUAACCAGCAUAAUUUGCCAUCAUAAAUAGGAAAAGGCUUCUUCCUAAGUCACAUAUAAAUAAAUUUAUAUCUAUUUUAAAAAUCCACGGCUAGAUAUCAUCUUGCAUUCUACUAGGAGUGAGUGCACUGCAAAAAAUACGUGAAUGUAAAAUCCCGCAGCACAUUCACGUUUGGGACUGGAGAGAUGGCUCAAGAGGCCCUUUAGAGCCAGGGGCAGUGCCUGCCAGAAGGAGCCUCACAAGAGUAAUUGGUCUCUUUAACCCUGGGGAAAGAUUAUUGUAAAGUCUAUGAAAUAUAAGUGGGGUGGAAAGAGGCGUGGUCGAGGUAGCAGCAGAUGAGAAUCCAUUAAAAUAUUCUUGGGGGAGGCUCUUCUCACUCCCUGCCAGCCUGCUGGUCGCAUUCAUUCCCUUGCUCAUUCAUCCAGCACAUUCUCAGUGACGAUUGUGCCUGGUCCUGAACGAGGCUCUAUGGAGACCAAAAGAAUAACAGCUCAAGGGCUCACAAUCUAGCAGGGCAGUGAGAACUGAAAAAACAAACAAAACUCCUUCCUACCCUGACAAAUGCUCUAAUGGGGACACACACAAGAUGUUCAAGAUCCUGGGGAAGCAAAUGACAUUGCUUAAGAAAGCCUUCCCAGGAUGCCCAGAAGAGGUAACCACCUGCUUCUCGUUACAAAGGACAGGUAUGUAAGGGCGAGGGCUGGAGAGGUAAAAAUGCACUUGACACUUGUGUGCCUGAAUCCCUGAGAACCAGGGCAGGAGCAAUAGUCAUAGGAAAGGAAGUGGGAGGGGAGGAGGUUAAUGAUGAACCACGGGCUGUGAGGGGCUGGCAGCCCAGUGACAGAGACUGGAAUGUAUCUUGAGGGCAGAGGAGGCCACAGAAGGAUUUUAAGGAGAGAAAUGAAGGAGCCAGUUCUAUACUUUAGAAAAGUCAUUCUGAGAUGAGUACUAUAUAUGAUCAGUUUUCUCCUCUGGGCAUUGGUGUCCAGAAGUUGCUCCAGAAGGAUAGCAAGAGAACGGAAUUAACACCAGGGUAGGGCACUUUGAUUUCACAUGGAAAGGCCAAAUACUUCUAUGGAAUCAAAAUACCACCACCCCUGUAUUCCCAUCCUCUUUCCUCUACCCUUUGUCAUUCACUGAAGCCCAAUUGCCCUAGGAAAGAAGAUGUCAAAAUGAUUUGGAAGCAUUUAAUUCUGCUGGACAGAUUAUGUUGUAGUUUAAACCCAACUAUAGUUAAUUUGAAUACAAAUCAAUAAGAAUGCCAUACACCGAGUAAUUAGCUCAUCUAAUAGAAUUUAAAGGAGAGAAAAUUUGGUCAGGAGAGGUGGAGGUGUCAGGCUGGUCACGAACUGUGUGGAUUUGGGCAAGUCUCAACUUGUCUGGGCUUCAAAUUUUUUCAGCUUUAAGAUGCUAGGAUGGGUUCUGAAGAUCCCUAAGACUCUUCUAAUUCUGAUACACUAUGCUUUUAAGAUGCUCUAUACUUCUUGAUGAUGGGAGUUCUGUAAAUAUCUGGUCUGACAGCAUUCUGGGUACGUGAAUUAAGCAGUGCAAAGGCUCUGGGGCAGGGGUGAGUUUGCUGUAUUAAAGGAAAGCCAGAAAGCCAGUGUAAAUACAGCACAAUUGAUCAGUGGAAAAGUAGUAGAAUAUAAGGUCAGAAAGGUAAGCUGUGGCCAGAUCAGGUAACACCGGGGAGGCCAUGGUAUAGUCUGAAUUUUAUUCUCAGUAAAAUGAGAAGUAAUUGAAGUCGUUUUGGGAGGACAGAACAUAAUUCCUUUUAAGAAGAA